rnacentral:rRNA from 1 species
UCGGGAAUAUUGCGCAAUGGAGGGAACUCUGACGCAGUGACGCCGCGUAUAGGAAGAAGGUUUUCGGAUUGUAAACUAUUUUAGACAGGGAAGAAUAAAGACAGUACCUGUAGAAUAAGCUCCGGCUAACUACGUGCCAGCAGCCGCGGUAAUACGUAGGGAGCAAGCGUUAUCCGGAUUUAUUGGGUGUAAAGGGUGCGUAGACGGGAAAGCAAGUUAGUUGUGAAAGCCCUCGGCUUAACUGAGGAACUGCAACUAAAACUAUUUUUCUUGAGUGCAGGAGAGGGAAGCGGAAUUCCUAGUGUAGCGGUGAAAUGCGUAGAUAUUAGGAGGAACACCAGUGGCGAAGGCGGCUUUCUGGACUGUAACUGACGUUGAGGCACGAAAGUGUGGGGAGCAAACAGG